AGAGGCUGCGUGUCUGCUAAAUGCAGAGCCACGACGCUCACCUCCAAUUUCCGAAGCAAUUUUGAGAAAGCCUUUAUUAAACGCAAGCAAAUACUGCAAUAAUCGUUACAAAGACGCCGCAACUGUAGAAUAUGAGCCGAAUUACAGUUCUGACUACAGCAUUGAAAAAUGCUAUUUGGUGUGCAUGACAAUUGAUUAUAGUGGCACAAAAGAAUACAACAUACUUCCCGCACCUGAUUACAUACCUUGUAGCGAAACGAGCAAGCACGUGUGCAUUAAAGGCAUAUGUAGAGAUAUCCCUCCGAAAGGAAAGCCCUUUCACCAACAAGUAAAGGAACUUGCCAAUCGCCAACUCAUCUCAGAUCUAGCGAUUGAUGAAUAAAGACUGCCAUCACAUCUAGUGGCCAUUUCGAUCUAGUGGCCAUUUCGAGCCCGCUAUAACAUAGAGGCGAGAAGAGGCGUAGCGCCGAAGGUAAAUGUUAAGUGCAUAUGUACGCCUGAAUUUUGCUGCCUACGAUUUACCAUGCUAGGCGCCGUAGUAAUGCGCAGCACUUAUUUUUCAAGAGGUUCGGUUUCAACAUUUCUUCCUUUAACUUGUGCUAUUAUGCCUACCGCUUCAUGGAUAUGUCGCAGAGCAUAUAGUGGUUCUAAAUUGGGGAAUAGGUAGGUUGACGAAUGCAUUCUUCUGUAAAAAACAGUGCCUGUUGACCGCUGAAACCACAGUUACCAGGCAGGAAAAUCUAGUGACCAUGCUGCUAGACUCUCCCAACACUAGCGACCGACACCAAAGCUGCGGUAGGGAUGGUUAUCCUAGAAGAUUACAUGUAUCUAUUCACAUUCUCUUCUCUUAAAGCAUGCGCAAUUGUCGCGAUUAUUGUGAGCACAAAUUACAUGCAGCCGUUUACCUAUGAGUGUAGUUGUUUACUACAUCUUCUGUUUCUGCGAUAGUCUUAGCGAUAGUGUUAACAUACUGGAGGCUCAAAAUUGGGUUUUGAAGUCUUGUUACCAUGGUCGCACUGUUCUUUUUUUUUUUUUGAGAGUACGGGGAAUGUCCACAAACGUUACAGCUAUGGUCAAGAUUAUUGACACCUGUUUUAAACAGACACUAAAAGGAAAUAUUUAGUCGAGCUAAAGUGAUAGGUUAGUGCUCGAGAAUCUCUAGGGCAUCAAAAUUAUCGCGACCAGGUGUAAGUAACCGAGAAAUUGAGGUAUAUACCGGGCCUGAUUAGAGACUCCCCUGUGACAUUCAAGUACUUGCCUGAUGACGAAAGCACUCCUCAGUUGAUAUCUGUCAUUUGUACUCAACCACUGGUUGCAAAACAUAUUCUUGUAUUAUCAGAGGAAAUAAAAUUCUUCUUAUCCAGUUCUAUUUCAACUUUAGAAGCAAGAACUCAUUGAAAUUACCCUUGACAACAACGCGUGCGGUCGAAACGUCUCGU